AUGGCGAUGGCGCCGCCGCGUCUGCUGCGGGGCCUCAUCGCGCCGAUGUCGCCGGCCGACUGGCUGCCCUGCCACCUGCAGCUGCUGGCCUCGUCCGCCUCCCUCCUGCACCGCUGGUGGCUCCCCUCGCUCGCGCGCCUCCGCUGCCCCUCCUGCUCCGACGGAUUCAAGCUCUUCCUCGUCCUGCUCCUCUUCUCCGCCGCCCUCGCCGAGGUCCGCUUCGUCGCCUCCGCCUCCAUGGCGCCCACCCUCCGCCCGGGCGACCGCGCCGUCGCAGAAAAGGUCACCUACAUGUUCCGGAAGCCGUCUGCCGGGGAUGUAGUCUUCUUCAGGGUGCCCGCCGCCCUGCAGAAUUGCGGCGUAAAUAAAGAUGUUGUAUUUAUUAAGAGGGUUGUUGCCACCCCUGGAGAUUUCAUCGAGGUCCGACAAGGCCAGCUUAUUGUUAAUGGUGUUGCACAGAAUGAACAUUACACCGCACCCCAUGGUGGGUCGUACACGAUGGAAGCCAUGCGCCUCCCUGAAGACCAUGUAUUUGUCAUGGGUGAUAACCGCAAUAACAGCUGCGAUUCUCGUGCCUGGGGACCUCUUCCUAUCAGCAACAUUGUUGGGAGACACAUUAUGUCCUUUACAAGAUCCUCUCUCCAAUAG
rnacentral:rRNA from 1 species